rnacentral:rRNA from 1 species
GGUGCGAUGGUUGUCGUCAGCUCGUGUCGUGAGAUGUGGUUAAGUCCGCAACGAGCGCAACCCUCGACCUUAGUUGCCAGCAUUCAGUUGGGCACUCUAAGGUGACUGCCGGCUAAAAAGUCGGAGGAAGGUGGGGAUGACGUCAAAUCAUCAUGCCCCUUAUGACCUGGGCUACACACGUGCUACAAUGGGCGGUACAAAGGGUCGCGAACCCGCGAGGGGGAGCCAAUCCCAAAAAGCCGCUCUCAGUUCGGAUUGCAGGCUGCAACUCGCCUGCAUGAAGCCGGAAUCGCUAGUAAUCGCGGAUCAGCAUGCCGCGGUGAAUACGUUCCCGGGCCUU